GACGAGCGCUGGCGGCGUGCCUAACACAUGCAAGUCGAACGGAGAAGUUCAGCAAUGGAUUUCUUAGUGGCGAACGGGUGAGUAACGCGUAGACAACCUGCCUCUAAGCUGGGGACAACAACUCGAAAGGGUUGCUAAUACCGAAUGUGAACAGCGUCUCGCAUGAGAUGCUGUUUGAAGGUGGCCUCUGAACAUGCUACCGCUUAGAGAUGGGUCUGCGUCUGAUUAGCUAGUUGGAGGGGUAACGGCCCACCAAGGCGACGAUCAGUAGCCGGGCUGAGGGGACGAACGGCCACACUGGGCCUGAGACAGGGCCCAGACUCCUACGGGAGGCAGCAGUGGGGAAUCUUCCGCAAUGGACGAAAGUCUGACGGAGCAACGCCGCGUGAGUGAAGAAGGCCCUCGGGUCGUAAAGCUCUGUCUUCAGGGACGAAUGUGCAGAUUGUAAAUAAUGGUUUGCAAUGACGGUACCUGAGGAGGAAGCCACGGCUAACUACGUGCCAGCCGCCGCCGUAACAC
rnacentral:rRNA from 1 species